UUAGCCUCUUUCUUUCUGUUCCUGUGGUUUUGAAUACCAUUUACAUGACUCACGUCUCAGAUUUUCUUUCCCUACCAGCCUCCCUGUGUUGGUUUGUGACUUUAUCUGUCAGUGUUCUCUCAGGUAUUUACUUAGAUUUCUGCAGGCAUCCUCAAGGUCAGCGCAUCAGCCAACUUCUGUUGUUUAACAGAACCCUUCUUUGUGCCCUGACUCUAUCUCCAGUUCUUUAGGUACAUGAGUUCAGUGUUGAUUCUUGACUGCUUGCUCCCACACCCAUGCUUGGCAGCCUCCAACUUUCUUAAGUCCCAUCUAUCUCCAAUCAGAGAAAUGUUAGCCAUCUUUCAUGGUCAACUUCAUAUUCAGUGGACAAGGUCUGAACUGACUAGCAGGACUAACACGGGCAGCUGUUCGCUCAUCCAUUGCUCACUUACACUUGAGUCAUUUUGCUUACCAAAGAACCCAGUGUGUCCUGGGCACCAGGCUAGGUGCUUUACACACAUUUAUCUCAUCCAGUCCUCACUGCAAUCCUGGAAGGAGGCUGAAGCACUUUAAAGGUGCACUACAUCCUCCAGGAGGUGGUGAUGGGUGGGAUGGUGUUGGAAACAAACAUGAAUGAAAUCGUGGCUCAGAUUGAGGCUCAAAACAGGCUGGAGAAAUCCGAGGGUGGCCUUUCAGCAGCCCCUGCGCGGGCUGUGUCUGCUGUGAAAAACAUCAACCUGCCAGAGAUUCCUCGGAACAUC
rnacentral:lncRNA from 1 species